UACAGAGGGGGCAAGCGUUAUUCGGAAUUAUUGGGCGUAAAGGGCGCGUAGGCGGCCCUUCAAGUGGUAGGUGAAAUCCCUCGGCUCAACCGAGGAGCUGCCCGCCAAACUGAAGAGCUUGAGUCCGGGAGAGGUGAGUGGAAUUCCCAGUGUAGCGGUGAAAUGCGUAGAUAUUGGGAGGAACACCAGUGGCGAAGGCGGCUCACUGGACCGGAACUGACGCUGAGGCGCGAAAGCGUGGGGAGCAAAC
rnacentral:rRNA from 1 species